rnacentral:misc_RNA from 1 species
GCAAACUUGGUCAUUUAGAGGAAGUAAAAGUCGUAACAAGGUUUCCGUAGGUGAACCUGCGGAAGGAUCAUUAUCGAGUUUUGACUGGGUUGUAGCUGGCCUUCCGAGGCAUGUGCACGCCCUGCUCAUCCACUCUACACCUGUGCACUUAUUGUGGGCUUCAGUUCGUGAAGCGGGUCCUUUACGGGCUCGUAGAGCGUUCUGCGCCUGCGUUUAUUACAAACACUAUAAAAGUAUCAGAAUGUGUAUUGCGAUGUAACGCAUCUAUAUACAACUUUCAGCAACGGAUCUCUUGGCUCUCGCAUCGAUGAAGAACGCAGC